UCUAUCUUUAUCUUGGUGAAAAAUUACUAUUAUGUUAAAACCUUUGAUGGCUUCACUUUUACACCUGCUUGCAAAUUACAGUCUCUUCUGCAUCAUCUCUCAUAUGCUUACUUUCUGGGAAAUGGGAUAUUCUGGCAGAUGGAGUGAGCAUUAGCAUGGAUGAGCACUGUAUCAGAGCAACGAAGUUCACUGUUCCUCUUUCUGUCAUGAGGUAGGUGCUCAGCCAUCUCCAGAAAAGCAAGGCUCCAUCACGUAUAACAAUUGCCCAGGAAGACAAAGGCAUCCACAAAAGGUGAAAGUGGCACUCAGAAUUCUAAAUACCCUUUCAAAGAAGAGGCCGGAUCACACAGCAGACAGUAAAAUAAUUCCAGUUAACAGAGCUAUUUGAAUAUCUAGAAUUUCCACAACGAAAUUAUUUUCAAUGUUUUCAAAGACUAUUAUUUUACAUUUUGUUCUGAUUCAAGAAAUUAACAUCAUGGAUGCGCAUCUGGAAUGGAAACUUCUGGAAAACUGAAGGUUCAGAGUGUGAAAAGCUGGCCCAGAAAUGUCUCAUCCAGAUUUACUGGAGUAAGAUGAGACUCUUCUUUGUGCCUAGGUUCAGCAGAAUGUGCUCUAACUAUCCAAAACCUGUCCUACGUGUCCGCAUUAGUAAAAGCCAUAAUGCAAGAGCUUUAGGCCAGUUUCACAUUUAUGAAUUGUGUCUGGCAGUCAGACUAUAUCACUUGCACUGGCUAAAAAUUCUUGGUGAACUUUAAUAACAUGAUAAUAUUUUAAAAAAACAGAUUUUGCUAGGAAACAAUGUCAAACUGUAAACAGCUCUGCCUUUGCUUCACUGCAGGCAGGACCAGCAAUAACAAGCACAUCCUGCCCAGCAGUGAGCCUUCCUCUCUUGGCUUCCUGACUCAGAGAAAAUAGCGAAUAUGUGAGUCGCCCCAUAUCAUUGAGGAAAAUGACUCAUACACCAGAUCUGGGGAUGGAGAACCAAUUUUGAAGGGCCUGAGACUGGGACAGCAUAGUGGGGAUGUUCACUUCUGGCUGAGCUUUAGCUAUAGAGGAACAUUUGACCAUUCUCCUGUUGCUGUCCUCUCCUUGUUUGAAAAACUAACUGAGCACCCAUAAAAGCCUUUUUGCAAUGUAUUAAAGUUCCUCAGAAGAAAAACCCUGAUGUCUGUCUAAAAAAAAGUGCUUUCUCGCAGCUAAGGUGUUCUCAUUUUCUUCAUUCAAAAGGACAUAGUUAACUACAAUAAUUGUGUACAUUAAUCUAAAGACAAUUUGUUUCUUGAGUUUUCAUCACCUUGUUGUAAACAAUGUAGCCAUGAAUAUAAAAAACUGACAGAUGUUAUAUGAACUGUAGUCUCAUAUAACCAUGCAGUUUCAUAUAACCCUAGCUAAUAAAAAAACAGGUCUGAUUCUGAGACAAUUAUUUAAAAAUAUUUUUAUUUUUUCUUCACAGAGAAAGAAAACCUCUAAGACUGUGCCAGAGGAAUUUGUAAUCUGCAGUAUUUUUAUGAUACAUUUAAAAGGAUACUUCUCUCCCUCCAUAACCCUUGUUACAUCCCCAAUGGGAAAAAUUCAGAGCGAAACAGGCAAUAAACCUCCCUUCAGAGUUGCCAGUAGCUGGAGGGCACAUUGGGUUUCUUCCAAAUAAGAGGAUAGAUACUGUUGCCAGGUCCAUAUCCCCCUGAGUAUUUGUAUCCCGUGUUUAAUCUUGCAAGAAUUUGCUAAAGGGAAUUCACUAACCUAAGCGUAGAAAGUAGGAGUUUGGAGUCUGGGGAGAAUAAUUGCCAUCUAACCUAUUUGCUUUGCAUGAAUGGAUGUUAUGGUUGUAUUUUAAUACUUACUUAAUUACCUGGUCUUUCCCUUUGGUUAUAUAACUAGACACUUACCAUCAAAAAGCAGGCUGGAGCUAGCUGGAAUUGCCAAAAUUCUUGGUGUAUUUCUGACAGGUGCAAACGGUGCCUGUGUAAGAGAAGUGUGGAUCCCCCUAAGUUGAUCGUUAGAGCCAGGGCACAGGAGCUUGCUCUUAAUUCUGAAUGUACCAUCACAACUGGGACACACAAGCAGAAAUAAAAUCAGUAAAGUCUGAACUUUAUGUUUGGGGGUUUUUUAAUACAAAAAGAAACAAUAAGUACUGACCUCCUGAGAAGCUUGGGUUCUAAAAUGUAAUUUGAUUACACAUGGGCUCAGAACAACAACUUGAUUAACUAAAUGGCUUUCAAAAAAAAGGCAGGAAACACCAAGAGACGCCAGAUUUGCUGCUAUCAUUACUGCACUGUUUAAUUAGUCACUUCAGCAAAUUAGUCAGUCAGCUUCAAAGAAACUUCAAUGGAUGUUAUUGAAAUCCAUUUAUUUCUUUUAUUUCUUCUAUAUCAGAUUGAAGAACUCUUUAAAUUUUUUUGUACUCUAAAUUCUUUAACAUUUUCUUACUAUAGAAUUAGAUAUUAAGUGCUUAAAAUGACUCUGAUUUUUCUUUGCUAAACUGUGGAAGUACAGUCUAUGAAGCUUUCUCUUUAAGAACUCUUUACAACCAGUCAGAUCACUUUGUCCAUAAUAUCUGCAUCUUUCUCAGUUGGCUAGAAAGUUAAAAAUGGCAGUAAGGAAACACAUAAUGAUGUAAUUGCAUGUGUACGAAGUUUUAAAAAGCAUUUGAAGAGAAAUAUAGUUGAAACACUAAAUGCAUGCUUGUUUUACAAUAUGUUAGGAAGUGAAUGAUGUAAUACAAGGCGAGGCAAUCUCAGGCUUCAUGAAAUUCUUUUACUUAUGCAUUUCUACAUUUUUAGGAAAUACAAUUAGUCUUGCUUUUAUGUGUUCUCAGAUAUAAAUGGCAAGAAUGCACUGUUGUGUUCCAUUUCCUUAUCUGAAGUAAAAGUUCAAAUACCUUGGGAAAAAUUAUUUUCCAGGGCUUAGAUUUUAAUGAUGCAGAAUCCAAACAAAAUGAUUUAAAAGUUGGUAUGAAUCUAUCGGUGAUAUGAAAGUAAUAGAGGAUUUUGUAAUAUUCCUGAAGAAAAUAAAUUGGCAUCCUGUUCCAUUCAUACGAAGACUGCAGUAUGUACUUCAUAUCGGGUACAAAAAUAAAAUGUAUCCUUUGCAAGAUGAAUGCUCUAAUUAAAUACACUGGACAGUGCAGCUUUACAGAGUCAGAGACCAUCAGACAGAAAGAGAGGGUGAAAGCAUCGUACACUUUCUUUCUCCACUCAGCUGCAGUUGAAAGAAGCCAAGGGAAGGGAGUGGGAAGGGAGACCUGGGGUGCAGGUAAAGCCACUCUGCUGACUGAAAAAACACCCCAUCAGAGAGGAUACUGUGGUACUGCUGGCUUCCCCCCUGUCUGCAUCUCCUGCUGCAAGCUGAAGAAGUGGUGAGCCACAACCUGAGCUGCAGUGCCCCUAAGCAAAGCAGCACUGCAUCCUGACAGUGACCUGGAGGGGCAGCCCCGUAGUAAAAUAAAGUCUGCAGAGAGGAAUGAAGCAAUCCUGAUGAUCUGUAACUAAGCAAAAUGCAUGCCCUCUACCUCUCUGACUUUAUCAGUCUUUGAAGUUGCAGAGAAUUCUUGCCAGUUCUUAGUGGCAGAUUUCACUUCAUAAACCACGAGAGUUAAUAUUGUUGUAAAUAAUUCUCCAUUUCAUUGGAAAGAUGUUGUGAGGAUUUGAUAUUGUAAGUGAAAAGCAUAUCCAUCACCUGUUUUUUGAUCUUUAAAAUGCAAUGCUGCACUUCACACCCUGCUGGGCCCUGACAUAGCUAUAAUCAGAUGCCCUUUCUGCUUGAGAAGUAGUGUGGUAGUUUGAGAUCUAACUAGCCUGUGCCUCUGAAAAUCUAAUUAUGUUUAUGCUUUA